rnacentral:lncRNA from 1 species
UUCAUAUUUUUUGUAGAGAUGGGAUUCAACAUGUUUCCCAGGCAAUCUGAAAGCAAAUCCUGUUUAGAUGCAGGCGAAGGUUCCUGGUGACCCAGGCUCUCACCUUACCGUCCCUUACCGUCCUCCUGAGGGUGUCCUGGAGCUUCAGUGCUGUGUGUUCUUGGCCUCCACGCUGGGGGUGCCACCAACUCCCACUGUCCAGGGCUUCCAGUGGACUCUCCGAGGUACUGAUGUAGAAACUUCCCCAUUCGGUGCACCAAGAGCAACCUCACACGGUGUGGGCCGAAUGAAGAGCUGCCAGAUCCCACAGAAAUGUGAUUGAUAACAGUAAAGCCACACUCCUCAAGUGCCUGAAAUACCCCUCAUUGUCUUCUUCAGGUGGCAAGGGCUCUGGAACAGCCACAUAAAGGUGAGGGCAAUAUUUUUACUGUAGUUCUUUCAUUGAUUGGUUGAUUGAUUUUUUUCUCUUAGAGGGUUAGCAUACAUUUAUCUGAAAUUGAAAUUCAAGAGGAGAGACAGGCACCUGUACUAGUUUUCUCUUGCUGCCUAUUAUCACAUUACCACAAACCAGUGGUUUGAAACCACAGAAGUCUGGAAUGAAGUGGCCGGGUUCUCUGAUCAGAGUCAUGUGAGGCUAAAAUCCGGGAAUGGGCUGGCUGUGUUUUUUUCCUAGAGCUCAAGCUAUUUUUCCAGGUUCACUACAGAUAAUGAAAGAGUUCCUAUUCUUGUUUGUGGGGGACUGAGGGCCCUUUUUCUGUGCUGGCUGUCAGCGGGGAGACAGUCUACUCUGACUCCAGAGGCCACAUGCUUUCCUCCUUACCUGUCUGUUUCAUCUUUCAACCAAUAACAACUCAUGGAGUCCUUCUCAAGCUCCCACCUUCUCUGACUUCAUCUUCUCCAACCAGCCACACAAAGCUCUGUCAUGUAUGGAGUGAUGUGAUUAGAUCCAGUUCAUGCGGUAACCUCACCAUCUUAAAGUCAUAUAACUGGCAUAUAACAACAUAGUCACAGGAAUGGUGUCUCAUCACCUUAAGAGGCUUUAGAGACAAGGGUGUGGCAUGUUUGGGGACCAUUUCAGAAAUUCCAUCUACCACAGUAGGACACUCACAUUCCCCCAUCUGCAAAGUGCAUUUACCCUCUCCCCUGAGGUUUCCAGAUUUCAUGUCAUUAAAGCAUUAGUUCAACAUGAAAAAUGUCAUGUAGACCACAUCAGAUCAAAAGUUUAAAAUCCCAUCUAAAACAUCCACACCAGGUGUGAAUGAGGCUUCCGAGAGUGUCCAUUAAGUGCAGAUCCUUGACAUAAUUCCCUUACCUCUGUCGACCUGUGAAACUGAACAAACAGCUUAUCUGCCCCUAAUGUGAAAUGAUGGGACAGACAUAGAAUAACCACUACAGUGAUUCUAGUUCAAAAUGAGGGAACAUGGAGGGGAUAAAGAAGUCAAUAACCCAAAAUAGUUUGGAAAUGGAGCUGGGCAAAAUCCAGCAGGAGUUUCUUAGUUAGGAUCCACAGCCUGGGACUGACCCUCUGUCCUGUGGGUCUUUGCCUCUGGGCUCUCUGCUCUGCAUUUCUUGAAACCAUUAUUAUUUAUCAUUUUUCUCACACUCUUUUGCGUAUGGCUCCUAUUGCACUCAAAAUGUUUUUGAGAUUCAUCCAUCUUGUUUUGUGUGUCAAAAGUUUGUUCCUUUAGCCGUUCCAUGGAAUGAAUGUAUCACAGUUUAUUGAUCCAUUCUUGUAUUGAUAGAUAUUUGAAUGUUUCCAGUUUUUCCUAUUAUGAAUAAAACUGCUAUGAACAUUCUUGUAUAAAUCA